rnacentral:misc_RNA from 1 species
UGGGAAGUCUGAAUAAAAAACUCAAUAUGCUUAACAUGGUUCUCUCGAUUCCCAUCAGAUUAACUACCAUGUGGAGUUAAAUAUUCACAAAGCACUGAUCUUUAUGAACAGACUUAUUUUAUCUUGCUUGCAGUUGUUCUGCAAUAAGAAGAUACGAAAUCAAACAAGUAUAAUAUCCAUACGUGAUAUACAAAUUCUCGUAUGAUACAAAAGUUGCAUUCCACUCUCAUGAUCUCUUCACUUCUUCAUAAACAUGCAGAGAUAUGUCAAAGAAGGGGCAGUCAAUUCAGACUGCUUUUAAAUUGCAUCAGAAAGCAACAUCAAGCAAAAUGUCAAAAUUUCCCAUGUUCACCAAUUUGAAGAAAGAAUCAAGCGUCCUAUGUACUUCAUUUGCUUUUGGAUGUUCAAUAUCACCAGCUAGGAACUCUUCAACCACACCAUUCAACUCUAUGACGCUGCUCCCUGGCUGCUUCUUCACUCCUGCUUCUGAGAUUAAUUUCCUAACUCUAUUGGCUCCCAUCUCCCAGCCAGCUUCCUUAUAGAUAUUGUAUGAGACUAGAUGAGUACCAGAAUCUACUAUUCCCAUAUCAGCUAGCUUUUUCCAAACUCUGUUUCCUACUUCAACAUUCCCAUAAAUUCUACAUGCACCCAAAAGGGCCCCCCACACAUUAGCGUCCUUUCCCCCAAGCCCUCCCAUCUUCUCAUCUAUAAACUUUUCAGCUUCCUCUACCAUGCCCGAUCUCGCCAAAAGAUCAACAAUGCAAGCAUAAUGCUCAACCUGAGGUUUAACCCCGUACACACUACCCAUUUUUGCAAACAAAUCAAGGCCAUUUUUAACCAUCUUAGCAUGGGUGAAAGCAGAAAGGAGAGAAACGAAUGUGGUCUCCGUGGGUUGAGUCCCACUAAAGAUCAUCCCAUAAAACAAUUCAAGGGACUUCCUUGCAACUCCAUUCAUUGCAAAUCCAGAAAUCAUAGCAUUCCAAGCUCCAGCAUCUUUAAUAAAAAUACUCUUGAAAACUGACAGAGCUGAAUCCACAUGACCACAUUUCGAGUACAUAUCAACUAAUGCAGUAGCCAAGAUUGGGUUAGCUUCAAGAUUAAACCGCUUCACAUAAGAGUGUACCCAUAAUCCUUGAGUUAUAGCACCAAGAUGAGCACAAGCAGUGAGAACACUAACAAGAACCGACUCAUUAGGCACCAUGUCAGCUUCUUGCAUUCUCCUAAACAGACAAAGCACCUCUUUGAAGUCUCCAGCCCUAGAAUAAGCCGCCAUUAUUGCACUCCACGAUAUCACAUUUCUCUCCGGCAUUUUCUCAAACAAAUCUCUAGCUUUCUCAAUGUCCCCCACCUUUCCAUAGCCAUCAAUCAUCCCAGUACACAUGACGACAUCCCUCUUAGGACUUCUGUCAAACAGCAUUCGUGCAGCUUCAAUAUUAUGAACCAAAGAAUAAAACUCAAUCAACGAACUCACACCAAAAGGAUCAUUAGAAAACCCAAAUUUCACUACAUGGGCAUGAACUAAAGUACCCAUUAAUUUGAAAGAAGGAACAAGAAUCGAACACGCUUUAAUCAAGGGCGGAAACGUGUAGGCAUUAACGCCAAGGCCACAACUUAACAUAUCCAAAUAGCAUAAAAUCGCAGGUUUUGGCAAAUUUGUUUGAACAAAACCUCUAAUCAUAGUAUUAUACAUGAAAGUGUUACGGAGACAAAUAUAGUCGAAAACUAAGCAAGCGUAGGAGAAGAAAGAGGGGUUGUUGGAGGUGGCAGCAACAGAAAGGAGAGGU